rnacentral:rRNA from 1 species
UACGGAGGGUGCGAGCGUUGUCCGGAAUCACUGGGCGUAAAGGGCGCGUAGGUGGCCUGUGGAAGUCUGCGGUGAAAGCCCGGAGCUCAACUCCGGGUCGGCCGUCGAGACUCCUCGGCUCGAGCUCACUAGAGGCAGAUGGAAUUCCGGGUGUAGCGGUGGAAUGCGUAGAGAUCCGGAAGAACACCGGUGGCGAAGGCGGUCUGCUGGGGUGAGGCUGACGCUGAGGCGCGACAGCGUGGGGAGCAAACAGG